rnacentral:sRNA from 1 species
AUGACUGGUGUUGUUCGGGGUAGACGUAUCAGUGCACAAACAGUCCGUAGAAGACUCCGGUCUUUUAAUCUUCGUCCUAGACGUGCUUAUAGGGGAUCUACACUGAUACAACGACACAGACAAGAGCGGUUAAGAUGGUGUCAAGCUCGUUUACGAUGGAGACUCAAUAAUGAAUGGAGCAAUAUUUUGUUUUCUGAUGAGUCCAGAUUCACUCUCCAGCAUUCAGAUGGUCGAGCAAGAGUUUAUAGACGAUCAGGUGAAAGAUUUGCAGAUUGUUGCGUCCAACAGCAUGACAGAUUUGGUGGUGGUAGUGUCAUGGUUUGGGGUGGCAUAUAUACGCGUAACCGGACUAAUCUCGUGAUAGUCAAUGGAACACUAAAUGCCCAACGCUAUAGGGAUGAAAUUCUGUCAACGGAAGUGGUUAAUUUCAUUAACAGAUAUGGACCUGGAAUAACAUUUCAGCAUGACAAUGCCCGUCCCCACACUGCUCGUGUUUCAAAUGCCUACUUGCAGCAACAAAACAUCGAUGUGUUGCCAUGGCCAUCGAAAUCUCCAGACAUGAAUCCCAUCGAGCACAUAUGGGAUGAACUGAACCGCAGAGUUCGCUCAAGGCAACGCCAACCUGUUACACUGCAAGAUUUGUCCCAAGCAUUACAACAGGAGUGGAACAACAUGCCUCAGGCUAAAAUUUCCAAAAUUGUCUUGUCUAUGCGACGUAGGCUCCAAGCAGUAAUUAAUGCCAAUGGUGGACACACGAGAUAUUGACUUUUCAAACUGUAAACAUCUGAUGAAACGUACUGUUAUUCCAGAUUUUUGAUCUCAUCUGUUGUUUUUGAAAUUGUGCCAAAACUGUUACUCCGCUGUACUUUAUUUUUUUAGUAUGCAUAAUUCAUUGUCAGUCAUUCAUACAUUUGUUAUUGUUAAUUUUUUAUAAAACCUAUUUCUUGACAAUUUGAUAAUAAAUAAGUGUAUCUUUUUUUUCCAUGUUAUUAUUUGUUAAUGUUUUUUUCAUAUCUGAUAAGCUACAUUGAUUAGUAACCAGUAAUUACAUUAUGUAACUGCUACACACCAUAAAACAAAUUAAUUAUUAUCAAAGCACUUCAUGAUUGUCUAAUAUUUAAACUUCCGAAUUGUCCUACACACAUAUUCUCGAUUGUCCCACAAAAUUUCAUUACUUUUUACCUGUAAUUUCAAAAAGUGGGACAAUCGUGAAGACACCAUAAAGACAGAUGAUUGUAUUAUCGUGUGUAUUUUAUAAGAAUAAAAGACGUGUUGAAGGACACAGAUGUACAUGAAAUUCAUAUUCCAUAGACAGUAAAACUCAGAUUGUUGGAAGUUGCAUGGUAAAUGAUGUAUGGUGGUACAUUGUAGAACUUUUUUUUUAUUCUUUUUUUAAUUUUUAUUGGGAGAAAAAGUCCUGCUGAGAUAUCAAUAGCAAUUUAUAAAAAAACACAAUUAUUUACAAUGAAGUCAAUUAAAAAUCAGCCUUUUCGACGAAUUAUCAAAAAAUAGUGUAAUGUAUUUCAAAAUGGAUCUCGUCAAUACAGACACUGCAGUAAAUCGUACAACAAUGUAUUGUUCUUGGUUGACGAUGAUUAUAAAAAAGAAUAAAAAAGAAUUUCAUCAGGGGUCUAGUUUUUAUAAUAAAUUGUAACAUUUUAAAAUUUUUAAUAGUCUAAAGAUAGGUUCCAUGUAUUCACUGUUCAGCUUAUAAAGUUCCGCUUAAAAUGUUCAUGUAACUUAUUGUCGUUGAAAUUAUAUUUUCAGACAAUACUUUUACUGCUGGCAUCAAUCAAAAUGUUUCUUUAACAUGGACGACAAGUUUCACAGAUUUUUUCAGUGCCAUUCCGCCCGUAAAGUCGAAAGUUAUAUAUGUAGUACAAGGCGGCUCUCUCUCUUCCAAUUCUAAAGACGGAAAAUACGUAUUUGACAAUACGACACGGGAUGUGAAAGCCAUAAACAUUACAGUUAUUCGUGUGAAUAAGACUGAUGCCGGGCUAUACAGAACGGAGGAAGGAGCAACUGGGCAUGUGUACGGGUGCUGUUUGUUAAUUGUAACAGGUAUGAUAUAAACAUUAAAUUCCUUUCAUCAAAAUGUGUAUUUCGGUUUAAAUUUUAAGGCCACUAAUUGCUAUCAUGAUCAAAUGAAUGUUAUGUUCUUAAAACAAAUCAGUCAUCUUAAUGAAAACAUUAUUAACUUCUGUAUGAAUGACAACCGCCAAUGAAAUUAUUAAUUCCAUGAUUUCGCGCGUCCGAAUUGCUUUUCGAGUGUCACAUGACAGUCAUAAAAAAAUAUUUGAAAGCCAGGUGUAUAAAUACGCAAAUACUUCAAGCCAUUUUACCAGAAGAAUCUGAGAUUUAUAGCCUAAUUUUUCUACCUCUUAAGGUAAACCUUGCAAUUGGGUGUUUUUAAUUUGUUGAUAUAGGGUAUUGUACAAUCAUGGUACAAGUUUACUAGGUUAAUUUUUUUUAGUUUUUUUUUCAAACCCUCGGGGUAAUAAAAUCACAUAUUCUGUCCGUUUGUUUUUUGGUUUGCUGUUUACCAACCUUUCUAAAUAUGUAACAAAACAAGAAAAAAUAUUUGCAAAUUCAAUUGAUGACGUGAUAACAUUUUUAAAAACUUUCGUUUCCUAUUCAAGAAGCAAAAGUUGCAUCGCAAAAAACAUAAAUACAGUAAGUUGUGUUUGCCGGAAUAGCAAAAUUGUAUUAUAAUUGUAUCAGCGCUUAAUUUUUCUCUACAAAAAAAAAGAAAUAUAUCUUGUAAGUAAAAAUAUGAUAUUUUUACUUGAAAUCCUUGCAUCGAUAAUGUUAAUGAUAUAAACUAUAGGACAAAGGAAUUAGAAGAAAAACCCGAGAAAAAUAGCAUUAAAACCAGGAAUUUUGCAUUAUAAUGUAGUCAUCAAAACUUAUUUCUGAAGUUAUAAUCUUAACUGUGUUUAAUUGCACAAUUGAAGUUUUUCCUAAAUGAUUAAAAUCGAACUUUCUUAUGAUUUAGGGGGAAAACUUUUUUUUAUGCAUAUAUAUUAAAGUAGUACUUUCUUAAAACUUCAGUAUUUAUUAUCGAUCUUUGAACAGUAUAUUGUAUUUUUUUGUGGGGUUUGAACAUAUUUUACUUCUUAUAAUAUGGUACGUCAACCCUGAGUUGUACAGGGGAGCAACUAUUGCAUUCUUAUUUGUCGUAAAAUACUCCCAUAUCAAAUAAAUGACCAUCUUUCUAUAUAAUUACCAAGUAUCAUUAUAUUUAUACAUUACACCAUAUAUACUCAUUUGAACAAGGUAGUCAUACAACUGUAUGUUUUUCUUAUAAAACCAACCUGUAUAUAAUAUACAAAUCAUUUUCGAUUUUACAUUACGUCAUUCCGUUCCUUUGUUAUAACAUUCCAGUCGAAUGAUCUUUUUUCUCGUACUACUCGUAAUUAAUUCAUAAAAACUGUUUUUUUAGUUGGUCGGGUUGUUGUCUCUUCGACACAUUCCCCAUUUCCAUUCUCAAUUUUAUAAAAGAAGUAUUUAUAACUUUGUUUUCCAAAAGGAAUUAUUUCAGAGAUAUGGUGAGUAAAGAUAUUUCUGUUGAUACAACUUAUCUUUGUUACAAGUAUAGAAGAGACACUUAUACACAAUAUACAAUACAUAAGGAGUGUUGAAUGCAAUGUAUAUGAUAUUUUUUUUUCAAUUUUGAAGUGGUCAUAACACUAACAUGACAACACACAAAUUUAGGUCAAACACAUAUAUAAUAAUGAAAACCAUAAAUAAAAUAUAUGAAACAAAUAUUAUAGCUGGGAUUAUUUCGUUUAAGUUUCGUGUUAAGUCUUCAUGCAUUUGAACAGGUUGCAUAUUUUGUUUACCACAGUGAAAGCGAUUUGAUUAAUAUAUGAUUUUAAUGCAUAUAUGUAUUUUCCUGCACUUUAAACCAAUAUAUAUUUUGGCUGAAGUAGACAGGAAUUAGUUCACUCAACAAAAUCAUCUAUUUUCACAGGGAUAUGUUUUAUGUAUGCCAAAACCCAAAAUAUUGAAAUUGGGUUUGAAACGUCACUUCCAGUGUCAAAUGGUAGCUUAUUGUAAGCUGAUAUUUUUUUUUUAUAUGGUUUCGAUACAAGUUUGUUUGAAAUAAAAAGAGACAAUUUCUUACUUCCGGUUUGAAAAAUGUCACUUUCAGUAUUAUCUGAUAGUUAACCUAACACUGAUUCCAAAAAAUAUAUAAUUCGACAUACAUUUGGCUGGAAACAUAAUGCCAUCGUGUAUCGUGUAUACAUAUGAAGUUAAAGAAAAGGUCAAAAUCUCGAACGUCCCAAUUGCACAUGAUCAUGAUUGACCUAAAUUUUAAGGUUAUCAACAUAGAACCUUAUAUCAAAAGACCCUAGGUCUUUAUCAUAUAUGGUUAAUGAGUUAUAUCACCACUCGCAUAACUUUAAUCAUAAGAGGUGAAAAAACUGCUAUUUAAUGUCAACGUACCCUUUCAAUCAAAAUUUAUGUUUUACGACAUAUAGCAAGUUACAAUUUAGCAAAAAAUGUUGUUGAUAUCUUACAAGAGUUUUGAAAUGAAGUCAUGAUCUUGACCUUAGACCUUGACCUAAUUUCUUUUUGAUUGGAUCAAAGACUUUAAAUCAAGACUCUAAUUAUCUAUCACUUAUGGUUUACCAGUUACAAUUCCAUUUCACCUAUUACAAAUACAGAAAUGGAAAUAACUCUCAUAUGGAGGCUACAGAACGCUUCGGUCAAAAUUAUUCUUAAGAUCCUGAGGAUAUAACGAGUAAAUUUAGUUAAAUAAUUUUCUCGGAUUCGUUUAUGAUUGCAAAGGAUAUGCGCACACAAGAAAAACAUGGUUCUGUUAAACAUGUUCAGUUUCAGUCGCAAUAACUGUUCGAUAUCAUAAAACAAUAUAAGCGACAUCUUACGAAACAACCAAACACUGGCCACGGAAGAAGAAAAACAUAAUAACCAGAACCAAGUCAAUUGGUCGUUCCCCAGAAAAGUGGAAAGACAUGCAAACAGACCAGUGCCGUUGCAUUUAUCCUCUAUCAAAUUCGAGGAAACCAAUUCUGAACAAAAAAAAUUACAAAAAUAUAUAUUGCUAAUUUCUAACCUAUAUACUAUGACACUUAUUACAAUAUGAUUUUUAAUUUACAUAUGUUAUUCAACUGGCAUUUAUAUAACAAAUGAAUAUGAAAAAUACCAAGAGCAUAUCUAGUAGAAAUGCAUCACAGUGAAAGUAAUUUCAAUGUAAAAGAAUAGCAAACCUAGUUUUGAAAGUAGUUUGAAUGUUUAACAACAUACAAUUACUACACAAUAUUUUAUAUAUGAAUAUAUACAUUAUAAUUAACAUUAACAUUUCAGCAAAACCUGUUAAACCAACAGUAACCAUUCAUCCUGAGCAUCCAUUUGUCGGUGACAACAUUACCAUUUUUUGUGAGUCAAUGGUUCAACGUUGGCCUGGAUAUUUUCCUUCACACCUGUUAUAUCACUUUAUUGGGAAAAAAAGAGGAGAAUCCAACAACAAUAGAUUAACAAUGAACAAAAUUACGAAGAUGGAUAAUGGAACGACCAUAUCAUGCCAGGCAACUGAUAAUCUUGGAAAAAGAUCGAUGAUGGGUGAUAGUGUAACAUUAGACCCAUACU